GCUGUGAUGAAUCUUCAACUCUGAGAACAAAUGAUGUUCACAUCCUGUCCUCUAAGAAGUACUGAGCAC